CUCAUUGUGUAACUUUGACAUCUGGCCUCAAAUCAGGUAGGACUACCCGCUGAACUUAAGCAUAUCAAUAAGCGGAGGAAAAGAAACUAACAAGGAUUCCCCUAGUAACGGCGAGUGAAGCGGGAAGAGCUCAAAUUUGAAAUCUGGUGGCCUCAGGUCAUCCGAGUUGUAAUCUAUAGAAGUGUUUUCCGUGCUGGCUCAUGUACAAGUCCCUUGGAACAGGGCGUCAUAGAGGGUGAGAAUCCCGUCCUUGACAUGAACUACCAGUGCUCUGUGAUACAUUUUCAACGAGUCGAGUUGUUUGGGAAUGCAGCUCAAAAUGGGUGGUAAAUUCCAUCUAAAGCUAAAUAUUGGCGAGAGACCGAUAGCGAACAAGUACCGUGAGGGAAAGAUGAAAAGCACUUUGGAAAGAGAGUUAAACAGUAUGUGAAAUUGUUAAAAGGGAAACGAUUGAAGUCAGUCGUGCUCUUUGGAUUCAGCCGGUUCUGCCGGUGUACUUCCUUUGAGUGGGGUCAACAUCAGUUUUGAUCGCUGGAUAAAGGCUGGAGGAACGUAGCACCCUCGGGUGAACUUAUAGCCUCCUGUCACAUACAGUGGUUGGGACUGAGGAACGCAGCAUGCCUUUAUGGCCGGGAUUCGUCCACGUACAUGCUUAGGAUGUUGACAUAAUGGCUUUAAACGACCCGUCUUGAAACACGGAC
rnacentral:rRNA from 1 species